CGCGUAGGCGGUUUGAUAAGUCAGAUGUGAAAGCCCACGGCUUAACUGUGGAAGUGCAUUUGAAACUGUCAGACUCGAGUAUCAGAGGGGAAAGUGGAAUUCCCGGUGUAGAGGUGAAAUUCGUAGAUAUCGGGAGGAAUACCGGUGGCGAAGGCGACUUUCUGGCUGAAUACUGACGCUGAGGCGCGAAAGCGUGGGGAGCAAACA
rnacentral:rRNA from 1 species